UGCUCCUGGAUUCAGCGGCGGACGGGUGAGUAAUGCCUAGGAAUCUGCCUGGUAGUGGGGGAUAACGUCCGGAAACGGGCGCUAAUACCGCAUACGUCCUGAGGGAGAAAGUGGGGGAUCUUCGGACCUCACGCUAUCAGAUGAGCCUAGGUCGGAUUAGCUAGUUGGUGGGGUAAAGGCCUACCAAGGCGACGAUCCGUAACUGGUCUGAGAGGAUGAUCAGUCACACUGGAACUGAGACACGGUCCAGACUCCUACGGGAGGCAGCAGUGGGGAAUAUUGGACAAUGGGCGAAAGCCUGAUCCAGCCAUG
rnacentral:rRNA from 1 species